GAUCCGCCACUGCUGCUGGCCACCCCCUACCUUCUUCCUCCCUCGCGCGACGAGCACAACGCGGCGUGGAACGUGUCCGGCACGCACGAGUUCACGAUCCGGCGGUACAGCCAGACCAAGGUCAUCGGCGUCGGCAAAUCCAUCCUCUCCCGGUACUUCACCGUCGACGGCCGCACGUGGUACGUCCGGUUCUACCCCGACGACUACAGCCCCCAGUCGCUGCACGUCGCCUUCUACGUGCAGACGGUCUACAAGCCGCAGCUCUGCGCCGUCCGCGCCAACUUCACCUUCGAGCUCCUCAAACCCGACGGUAGCGUCGGCCACGCGCGGCGCUCCGACCGGCCUAGCAGCUUCGAAAGGUACUGCAACAGCUGGGGAUUCGGCCUGUUCAUCACCCGGGAGACUCUCGAGGGUGUAGGCCUUGUCGUCCUUCACGAUGACUCUUGCAUCCAAGGUGUUUGAUGAUUUGCUCCUUUGGUUACAGGCUCUGUUAAUGAGAAUAUUCAAAGCCACUUCUCAAAUUUCAGAAUGUCGCAUAUGUUAGCUUCUAAGCUGAACCUGCAACAGGUUAUUCCAUAUCUGAAGAUAUUCAGACAAAGCAACAUACAUUGGUUAAGUUACCCAUAAAAAUAUGAAGUUUAUCAAUGCUGUAAUGCUAAAUGAGGAUUGCAGAACUCUCAUAAACCACAUGGGUUAAGUUAUACAAACAAAUACAAAAAUGUGAUCAAUUCGGUGGCCAUGAACCUAAGCCUGUUACUUAAAAUUUUCAGGUGGGUCUACUUUAGGUUGCUCAUGGCUGCUGGAUUUGGACUGUUUAUCAGUGAUGAAGUCUUAAAUGUUUGGAUCUGUUCCUUGGGCCUCUAUAUUAGCAAUAUGAUCCUAUUCUAUCUAGGGAUGCUUUUUAGGCAAACUAGAGCAUCUGAAGACAUAAGCAGCAAGGUGUGACGUAGGGAUUUAUGUCAUUUUUUCAUACUCACUGAUUAGUUCUUUAACCUACAUUACACAUAUCCAUUUUUGCAAAAUUAUGACAUGAACUGUUCUUGCCUCAGUGAUAUCUAACCACAGUUAUCCUUUUAGAUCGGAAUUGGCUAGGAGAAAGUAUGGGAAACUAAUUGGCUUUGAUAUACUUCUGAACUCUCGCAGCGUUUUCUCAAGAAUUUCUAUCCCUGAGUAAAUUAAUAAAGUGUUAAACUCUGUAGAGUAUUACAUAUACAGUCAAUGCAUGGAAGAUUUAAAGACAAUAGAUUGUCGAAUUUGUUUAGCACUUCAAAUUGUUAAUGUCUGUCUUGUUAACUGCAGUUACGUGAUUUCCCAUUGCAGCAAUUCUUUACUGACCAGGGAGCUGUUGGCUUGGGGUUACGUUUAUUGAGUUAAGAAUUGGAAUGCUUUUCAUUGAAAAACUGGUUUAUGUGUGUAUAAUUUUCUCAUGUCUUGAUAUUAUUCUAUGUAACAAGACACUUCAUUGAUUUUUCUCCAUACUCCUCACUCAAGAAAUUGAUUUUUAAUAGGAUCUCCCACCGCGCUCGCGGGGGCACUUUUGUCA